GACAGAGGUGCCGAGCGUUAGGCGGAAUCACUGGGCUUAAAGCGUGUGUAGGCGGGCCGUUAAGUGCCCCGUGAAAUCCCUCGGCUCAACCAAGGAAGUGCAUCCGAAAUUGCUGAGCUUGAGUACUUAAGAGGAUCGCGGAAUUCCCGGUGUAGAGGUGAAAUUCGUAGAUAUCGGGAGGAACACCAGUGGCGAAGGCGGCGAUCUGGGAAGAUACUGACGCUGAGGUGCGAAAGCGUGGGGAGCAAACAGG
rnacentral:rRNA from 1 species